rnacentral:tRNA from 1 species
CUCGAAGCAGGCAGAGGAACGGCCCACUUGACUGGGGGUCAAGGGGUCGCAGGUUCAAAUCCUGUCGUCCCGACCG